GAGCCUGUCCGGACAAACAAGAACUGCUAACUCCUAUUUCCAUGGUUCAACUCCAUGGCCUGCUCAA
rnacentral:tRNA from 1 species